UACGUAGGGUGCAAGCGUUAAUCGGAAUUACUGGGCGUAAAGCGUGCGCAGGCGGUUUUGUAAGACAGGCGUGAAAUCCCGGGCUCACUGGAUGUCGCUGUGACUGCAAAGCUGGAGUGCGGGCGAGAGGGGGAUGGAAUUCCGCGUGUAGCAGUGAAAUGCGUAGAUAUGCGGAGGAACACCGAUGGCCGAAGGCAAUCCCUGGGCCUGCACUGACGCUCAU
rnacentral:rRNA from 1 species